GGCUGAAAUUCGCCUUCAUGAAGCUGGAAUUGCUAGUAAUCGCGGAUCAGCAUGCCGCGGUGAGUACGUUCCCUGGCCUUGUACACACCGCCCGUCACACCAUGGGAGCCGGUAAUACCCGAAGUCAGUAGCCUAACCGCAAGGGGGGGCGCUGCCGAAGGUAGGAUUGGCGACUGGGGUGAAGUCGUAACAAGGUAAC
rnacentral:rRNA from 1 species